rnacentral:tRNA from 1 species
GGGCGCGUAGCUCCAAUUGGUAGAGCAAUCGCCUCCAAAGCGAUUUGUUGGGGGUUCGAGUCCCUCCGCGCCUG